rnacentral:rRNA from 1 species
UACGGGGGGGGCAAGCGUUGUUCGGAAUUACUGGGCGUAAAGGGUUUGUAGGUGGCUUGCUAAGCCAGACGUGAAAUCCCUCAGCUUAACUGGGGAACUGCGUCUGAGACUGGCAGGCUUGAGUGCAGGAGAGGAACGCGGAAUUCCAGGUGUAGCGGUGAAAUGCGCAGAUAUCGGGAGGAACACCAAUUGCGAAGGCAGCUCGCUGGGACGUUACUGACGCUGAGACGCGAAAGCGUGGGGAGCAAACAGG